UACGAAGGGGGCUAGCGUUGCUCGGAAUCACUGGGCGUAAAGCGCACGUAGGCGGCUUUCUAAGUCAGGGGUGAAAUCCUGGAGCUCAACUCCAGAACUGCCUUUGAUACUGGGGAGCUCGAGUCCGGAAGAGGUGAGUGGAACUCCGAGUGUAGAGGUGAAAUUCGUAGAUAUUCGGAAGAACACCAGUGGCGAAGGCGGCUCACUGGUCCGGUACUGACGCUGAGGUGCGAAAGCGUGGGGAGCAAACA
rnacentral:rRNA from 1 species